rnacentral:rRNA from 1 species
UACGUAGGGUGCGAGCGUUAAUCGGAAUUACUGGGCGUAAAGCGUGCGCAGGCGGUUCGUCGUGUCUGAUGUGAAAGCCCCGGGCUCAACCUGGGAAUGGCAUUGGAAACUGGCGGACUAGAGUGUGGCAGAGGGGGGUGGAAUUCCGCGUGUAGCAGUGAAAUGCGUAGAGAUGCGGAGGAACACCGAUGGCGAAGGCAGGUCUCUGGGCCACUACUGACGCUGAGAAGCGAAAGCAUGGGGAGCGAACAGG